GGCGUUAUAGCUCAGUUGGGAGAGCAGCAGACUGAAGACGAUCACCCACAGUGUUCUGCAAUCUGAAGGUUCGGUGUUUGACCCACCGUAAUGCCA